rnacentral:piRNA from 1 species
UCCACAGUGGCCUCUCAUCUCGUCC